GGAGAUGUGGGGCAGGGGAGGGAGAUGUGGGGCAGGGGAUGGGUCUAUAGGGCAGAGAACGAACAUGUGGGGUAGAUAUGGGGGGAAAUGUGGGGCAGGAGAGGGAAAUGUGGGGCAGAUGUGGGGCAGAAAAUGGAGAUGUGGGGCAGAUGUGGGGCAGGGGAGGGAGAUGUGGGGCAGAGAGAAGAUAUGGGGUAAUUAUGGGGGAGAUGUGGGGCAGAUGUGGGGCAUGGGAGGGAGAUGUGGGGCAGAUAUGUGGGGAGAUGUGGGGCAGAGGAUGGAGAUGUGGGGCAGAGGAUGGAGAUGUGGGGCAGAUGUGGGGCUGAGGAUGGGGCUAUAGGGCAGGGAGGGGAGAUAUGGGGCAGAUAUGGGGGGAGAUGUGGGGCAGAGGAUGGAGAUAUGGGGCAGAUGUGGGGCAGGCGAUGGGGCUAUGGGGCGAGAUAUGGGGCAGGCUAUGGGGCGGGCUAUGGGGCGAGCUAUGGGGCAGGCUAUAGGGCUAUGGAGCAGGCUAUGGGGCAGGCUACGGGGCUAUGGGGUGAGAUAUGGGGCUAUGGGGCAGGCUAUGGGGCAGGCUAUGGGGCUAUGAGGCAGGCUAUGGGGCAGGCUAUGGGGCGGGCUAUGGGGCGAGAUAUGGAGCUAUGGGGCAGGCUAUGGGGCGAGCUAUGAGGCUAUAGAGCAGGCUAUAGGGCAGGCUA
rnacentral:lncRNA from 1 species